GACGAACGCUGGCGGCGUGCUUAACACAUGCAAGUCGAACGGAAAGGCCCUGCUUUUGUGGGGUGCUCGAGUGGCGAACGGGUGAGUAACACGUGAGUAACCUGCCCUUGACUUUGGGAUAACUUCAGGAAACUGGGGCUAAUACCGGAUAGGAGCUCCUGCUGCAUGGUGGGGGUUGGAAAGUUUCGGCGGUUGGGGAUGGACUCGCGGCUUAUCAGCUUGUUGGUGGGGUAGUGGCUUACCAAGGCUUUGACGGGUAGCCGGGCUGAGAGGGUGACCGGCCAAAUUGGGACUGAGAUACGGCCCAGACUACUACGGGAGGCAGCAGUGGGGAAUAUUGCACAAUGGGCGGAAGCCUGAUGCAGCAACGCCGCGUGCGGGAUGACGGCCUUCGGGUUGUAUACCGCUUUCGCCUGUGACGAAGCGUGAGUGACGGUAAUGGGUAAAGAAGCACCGGCUAACUACGUG
rnacentral:rRNA from 1 species